AAAAGAUAAUUAGUUCGAAUCUAUCCUAUACUAAAAGGGAUAUAUACUCCACUCUAAAGCUGUCCACGUCAGAUUAAUAAAUCAACGAAUCAGAAACUAUUAUUUGGACACGUCACUGCUGUUCCUGUCGACAGAUCAUAACUGGUUCUUUGUUUGGGCUGUCUUUCCAUUUCUUAAAUGGCCCAGACCAAAUCCAAUCUCGCCACCUUAAUUUUAUCUGAAGUGUGGAAAGCAGCAUUGACGAUUCCACUUCGUCUUCACGCUCUCACCUUCAAUAUGGAAUGAACGAACUAAUCUCUUCCCCUCCCUUCUCCACAGCUACAGCUACCUCCAUGGAAUCCACAGUAUAGUCUCCCGUCUCUACCCGCUAGCCUCCCGUCGUUGUGUCUUUAGCGACGUCUCACAAUUACCAGUCAAACUGAGCUCCGUUUUCGGUUAAUCCAUUUCUGGGAGUCAAGAAACAUUACAAAAGGCAGGACCUUUAUUGGAUUGGAGCUCCUCCAAUGCGACGAACAGGGGAUUGUGGUUCAUUUCCUCCGCUCUUGCUCCACGAUACUCGCCUCAUCCCAAAUCAGAAACAACUUACAGCCUUCUGAAUUUUUACGCUAGCAGAAACAAGGAGAUUUAUCGAGUUAUUGAAAGAGGUUAGGUUCCACUCUCAUGAAGAUAUCCAAGGGUCUCAGCUCAGGGGUGAUCACUACGAUGUUGUUGACCACUUGAAGCUGGUCAAUGGACAGUCUCUCAAUGACUGUUCCAUCCUUGACGAAGUGGAAAUAGCAACCACAUGUCGUUUUUUGGUUCAUUUACAGUCAAAAGGUGGACCUGUUAAGAUUUACCUUUGGCACCAGGCUGCAAAAGAUUUCUAUAAGUAGUUCACACCCAGUGAUUAAGGUGAACACAAAACGCCUUGCAGGUUGAUUUCUAACGUAGAAUUACGUUGCUGUUCAAGUGUAUGUGUUAAUUAUGACUUUACCAAUAUGUUGCCAUUUGUGAAACCACGUCACUAACAUGUCUUUUUUAAUGAGUUAACCAAAAACAGGGAAUUUAGCUCUCACUUCUGUGUCAUCCUCACGUGUCUUCAUAGACAAAGUUGUCCAGCUGACUAUUGCUUACUUCAGCUGGUUCAGUUCUAACCCAGGGAUUGCUACUCUGGUUAAUGCUGAGGAGGUUACUAAAGCUGAGCGCCUGAGCCAAUGACAUUUCUGCAAAUCUUUGCUUACAUCAAGCUGGAAUCCGCCGAUGUAAAAUAAAAGCUUAAGAUAGCUAAGUUAAAAACGUUAGUUCAUCUUGAGAUCCCACUUGCUGCCGAUGAUGUAGUUGUUGUGCCUUCUGCAAAUGUAGUUAGUGCAUUUUCAAAUGGCUGUGGAUUCAUUGCUGAUGAGAGAAAUUGGAGUGGCAGUGCCAUUGACAAAUCGCAUAAGGCUAAGCAUGCAAAACAUGGAAAAUUAAGCUUCGAGCACUCAUCCAUUCGGUGCAUUAUGGUUGUCAGAUUGAGCCAAGACUAUGAUUUGUCGUUUUAUUUUGAACUUCCACUCUUGCUUUGGUCUAAUAUUUGCAAAGAAUAUGCUUCUUUGUUUAGACUUUGAUUCAUUAGAAUGCUUAAUGAUUUACAGCUUUCAAAAGAAGCACUUGGUAUCUUAUACUAUGACUACUGUAGCUCAAAUGAGUGUAUGGUACUGAGACAUCAAUUUUUCUCUGAUCA